rnacentral:lncRNA from 1 species
AUUACAUACAGUCUGCAGUUAAAGUUUAUAAAACAUUUUUUAGAUUCAUAAACUAUCCUGGAUUUUUUUACCAAACUUGGAAGCUUCUUUCAAUCAAAAGACAGUAUUGUGAGGGAAAUUUUUAUUGAUGUUUUUCCUCAUUUUUGUUGAGUCUGCGAUUAACAGAAAAAGUAGGCGAGACACCGGGUUCCGUGGAACCCUUACGAAUUUUUUUGUAUGUAGUUAUUGUAUUAAAUGUUAUUUGUCUAAACAAUUUGAUGAAAUUUGUCCUUUAUAAGUUUUGCCUGAAUAUUUUUGAAAAAGGAAUUCUUUGAAUCUGGAAUCAUUUCCAAUUCUCGAAAAUUGAAAAGAAAUGUAUUAUCAUAUUAACUACCAAAUGGAAGAGGUUUAGCAAAGGUUCGCUUUACUUUAUUUCAGUAUAAACAUACAUGUAAUACAUUCAACCCUAUUAACCAUGCAUGCAUGGCCCACCCUCCUGAAAAACAGUAAGAACAAUUUUUUGUCAAAAUAUCCUCUAACUUCUAAUUUUCAAGAGUAGCCCCCCUUAUAUCAAAUUCUAGAUCCAUGCCUGACAACAACUACUGUGAAAGAAAACUCAAAGGAUAUCAAGCUGAUAUUUAAACAUCUAAUCCUACACUCUUAUCAGUUGCUGUAAUACUAUUAAGAUUUCAGAUAAACGUGUCAUAAACAGUACAGAAUCAGACAAUCUAAGACUCUUUCAUAUUGCAAUACAUGUAGUAUAAAAAAUCGACUUUUCUACACUUACACCAGUAUUGCCGAUUCCAAAAUAAAAGACAAAUUGAAAGAUUUGGUCCUGCUUUGUUUAAUAAAAAAGAAUGGCCAACAUAGAUUCAUGUAUUUUGUCUUAGGAAGGGGAUAAAUCCUACUUUCUAAAAAAUUUAUUCGAAACUGACAUUAUGAAGAUGCUUGAUUUCUUGAUUGACAACAUAUUUGCACAAAAGUGCAUAUUUGUUAAUUUUGCUGGACAUGGUUUUCAACAUGGGGUUUUUAUGGGAACCAAUUUAGUACCUCUUGUCAACUUGUUCCUUGAUUCAUAUGAGGCUGCCACCAUGCAGGAAACUCAUAGGAAGACAGAAAAGAAGUUAUUAGUUUCCUUCAACUUCACUUUCCCCUAAAUAGAUGAUGUAUUUGUUUCAUUAGAAAAGAUGUCGACUAUGUUAAACACAUUCUAUCCCAUUGGAAUAGAGAUAAAACAGAUACAGUUAAGGGUGCCUCACCUCUUGACUUACAAGGAAGGUAUUAAACCAAAAGGUUCAAGUGGUGAAGUUGAAUUCAUCCCGUCGUAAAUUUCACAG